rnacentral:rRNA from 1 species
GGCGGCGCUCGCUGGAGAAUCCCCAGCGGCUCGAGACAGAGCGUCCCGCCAAAGCAACAAGGUAGUUUUAACAACAAAGGGUUGGAGGUCGGGCGCGAGCAGCCUUACUCUUUAAUGAACGCUUCCGUAAGGUGAACCUGCGGAAGGAUCAUUAAAGAGUAAGGGUGCUCAGCGCCCGACCUCCAACCCUUUGUUGUUAAAACUACCUUGUUGCUUUGGCGGGACCGCUCGGUCUCGAGCCGCUGGGGAUUCGUCCCAGGCGAGCGCCCGCCAGAGUUAAACCAAACUCUUGUUAUUUAACCGGUCGUCUGAGUUAAAAUUUUGAAUAAAUCAAAACUUUCAACAACGGAUCUCUUGGUUCUCGCAUCGAUGAAGAACGCAGCGAAAUGCGAUAAGUAAUGUGAAUUGCAGAAUUCAGUGAAUCAUCGAAUCUUUGAACGCACAUUGCGCCCCUUGGUAUUCCGAGGGGCAUGCCUGUUCGAGCGUCAUUACACCACUCAAGCUAUGCUUGGUAUUGGGUGCCGUCCUUAGUUGGGCGCGCCUUAAAGACCUCGGCGAGGCCUCACCGGCUUUAGGCGUAGUAGAAUUUAUUCGAACGUCUGUCAAAGGAGAGGACUUCUGCCGACUGAAACCUUUUAUUUUUUCUAGGUUGACCUCGGAUCAGGUAGGGAUACCCGCUGAACUUAAGCAUAUCAAUAAGCGGAGGAAGAGGGGGUUUAUUGAGGGGG